rnacentral:lncRNA from 13 species
GAAAAAGAAUACCCACAGACAAGGCACGGGUGGUGGGUCACCAAAGGCUGACCUUACCCCAGCAGAGGACAUGGCCUUGGAGCUAAAUAAAGGCAGGCCCGUCUUAGAGGGGAUCCCUGGGGGGAAAGAGACGAGCAUAGGUUCCUCCCAAGAUGCCACCCGCUUCAUUCAAGUGUCUGGCAGCACUGUGUUCCUGUUAGAGCCACCAGCACAAGCACCAGACGAUGCUGAUCCAGGUGAAGGCCCCAGUGCAGCAGCAACAGCACAUGAUGGAGACGAUGAUGAGGAGGAUACCAUCUCUCUGGAUUCCAGAAGGCAUGAGGUAUCAUGUUAAGACUGUGAAAGUACUAUUUACUCUACAAUGGUGAGGAGUCCUCAUCAAAAUCAAAAAAUCUAAUUUCUUUUACAGGACCCAGAUGCUAUACAGUGGGAAAACCAGCCUGGCAACAUAGUGCGUAUUAAUAAAAGGACACCACAUCCUGCCAAAUUCCAGCUGCGCUAAUUGUAUUGUGUUCACAGAGCUCACAAGCUAUCAGAAAGUUGUAUGGCAACCACCUCCGGUGCCAAAUAGAACUGGCAGACAUAGACAUUCAGUACAAGAAGAAAAAGAUGGAAAAUCUUGCACUGGAGUUCGAAAUAAAAAAGAGGACAAUUAGGAAACUGGACCUUGAAAUAAAAAAACUUGAGAGGGAGGUGAGAUAUGCCUUCAAUGUACACUGUAUGCUAACUGUAACACAAAUGUAUUAAUCAUUAUUUUUCUU